rnacentral:lncRNA from 1 species
ACUCGAGAGGCCAUAUCAACAUCAGACAUCUUCUGGACAAAAACCUCGCGAUCAAAUUCACUAACAGGCUCCAUUGUGUCGAGAGCAGUCAGCAACCUGCGUACUUCACGAUCAGUAAGAUCUGGCAUGUUCUUGAACAUGGCUGAGUGCAACCGACCACGGACAUCAUAGCUGACUUCCGGUAGACCUGGAUAACAGAUAGCUACAAAAAAAUGAGAUAACACAGCGCUUCGACACGGGUAACAGAAAAAAAACAUAUAUAAAGAGAACAUGACAAAAACUCACCGAAUUGAUUAGCAUCAAGCACAUCCCCCAAUUCUGACCAACUAACACAGCUUCGAAAAUGGGACCGUAAUGCGCAGCACAAAACUGCACACUGUCACCAGGUUUCAGCUUGUGAGUCCUUGCAAAAGGCCUCCAAUAGGCUCCACAGAGCAAAGUGAAAUCAUUCCUUACUUGGAUGGUACUUGUAACCGUUGCAGUCCAUGAUGAUGAGGAAAUUCUCAGCAAAAUCGUUAAGCCGAUCCUUGAAACACUGGGGGACGACCUGCUUGCGGGAAAACGCGAAAAAAAUACAGCAAGAUCCAAAAAAUCACUUUUAAACAAAACAACACAGCAAAAAAAAAUCCUACCACAGAAUUGUGGCAUCCAUCAACCAUCUAGAUUGUGAAAACUGAAAAGCAAGCGUCCGAGCGCUUACAGACCACAUCAAACUUCUUGCACGCAUUGCAGCACUGAGCCAUGAUCUGAGCACAAAAAACCAUGCAUCUCACAUAUAAAAACAUAAAUGCUCACAAAAAGAAUACUCAAAAAGGGCGAUAAAAAAAACUAGCUAAAAAAAAAAACAACAUGCGCAUAAACUAAUAUACUGAAACAGCAAAAUAUUCAAUGAAUGACAACACAAAAGAAUGCACAUGAGCACAACAAAAAACACAAAAAAAAAAUACAUAUACAUAGAAGACUGCGCUCGCGGAACAAAACCUUGUUCUAUACCCCAACCACCAUCCCAUACAACUUAAAGAAAAUAAAAAGAUAACCACUAUAUAAGAAACCCUAUAAGAAAAUGUUCCAAUAAGAAAAAGCAACCCCUUAUAUGUACAUAGCUGAUGCUUUUUAGGCCUAAUAAUUUAGUUACAUUAAACAAGAUAACAGUAUGCGUAAAAAAAUUAAUCCUUCAUGGUUUUUUGUGCGUCGAACCUGAACCUGAUUGCUAUCCGUCGAACUCAUCAUGCUCCCUCGCCGUACCGCCUGAAAAGAAAAAAUGAUAAGCAUCACAAAAAUAAAAAGGCUAACGCAUCUCUCCAAUCUUUGAAAAAAGAAUCAUAUCGAUGACUGGUUAUUUUGACAGCAAAUCUGGUGAAAAAAAAUUGCAUUGUUCAAAAAAGGCUUCCUCUCCCACCUAAUCUCUGCCUGUGUGGAACCCUAAUCUCUAAAGGUCCAAUGAUCUCCCCCCCCCCCUCCCCCCUAUCGAACGUAAACUCUGCAACCCUCUCACCACCCUUGCAAAGCGCCCCCAGAAAUUAAACAAAACACAAAAAACAAAAACGAAUCUACAAAUCACCUCCCCUCCCACCCACCCCCCCACACACCCCACCCCCCACCCCCAACUAAUCUCUAAAGUAGAACAAACCCUAGAUCAACACAAAAAAAAUCUGAUCACCGCGAAAAACACCGGCUCCUAUUCGGGAAAAAAAAAGAUCCCCGCCUUAUACAAAAACAAAACAAGAAACCCUAGAACACAACUAAGUGGCGCGCUCCCAAAAAAGAUGCCUUACCUGGAUAAAGAGCCGUCAGCCGCCACCCAACACCAGAAGACCUCACAAACCAACCCAAGACCUCGCCGCCGUAAUCUGAACUCCGAUACAGACGGCCGCCGCAGGGAUAGGGGAGAAGCUGGAGCGGAAUAGACACAGACACACAGCCGAAGCUGCACGCGGCUUAACUACGGCGUAUGUGGAUGCGGAUCGACACAGGACACGCCCGCCGCCCAAUAGAUGCGAUCGGCCCGCCCAAGAUCCCAGCCCGACCCGAAAAAACCAGCGCGCGACAGAGGAAAAAGAAAUUUAGAAACCAGUGCGAAUCUCAAAGGACAUCGGACGGCCGGGACCAGUCGACUGAGAAAAACAAAAAUCUCAGGCGACUGAUCCCUAGCAAUCGUUUUAUUUAAUUAAAAAGCUCGUCGAAAUAAUGUUGUAUAAUCAGUUCAAUUGCAUAUGCAUUUCGAAGCGAACUAGGCACUGAUCUAGCGACAUUUCAAAUAACAAUGUCCACUGUUGGUUCCACUUUGAGACCCGGGCUUGUACUUUCUCCGUUCACAUAUUACAUGUCGCAAUUUAAUCUAUCUAUUAUAUACUAAAAGCAAUAUGAGGGUACCGAGUGGAGACUCCACGUUGAUCCACGUAAUCCCAAUUAUCUUAGCCGUCCGAUCUAAAAGUUACGAAAGUUCGUCCGUCAGAUCUGGAAAACACAUGCCUGAUACAACCGCUGGACCCGUUCCCGCACCUGACGCGUGGCAAGACAAAUCCCAACGCUCGCAGGCUCGCCGUUUGAACGC